GUGGGUGUGUAAGAAAGAUUCAGUUUUGAGGGUGGCAAAGUCACCUUUUAGGAUUUGUGCAUCAGUGGCCACUGCACAGAAGCCCAACGAGAUUGUGCUGCAACCCAUCAAAGAUAUAUCAGGCACUGUUAAAUUACCUGGUUCUAAAUCCCUUUCCAACCGUAUUCUCCUUCUUGCUGCCCUUUCUGAGGUAAAGUUGCCAACUUUUUCUUUUUAUUUCUUUUUGUUUAACGAGAUUGUGCUGCAACCUAUCAAAGAUAUAUCAGGCACUGUUAAAUUACCUGGUUCUAAAUCCCUUUCCAAUCGUAUUCUCCUUCUUGCUGCCCUUUCUGAGGUAAAGUUGCCAACUUUUUCUUUUUAUUUCUUUUUGUUUUUGAGUUUAAUUGGUGGAUGCUGUUGUUGUUUGCGAUAUCCUUCAUGGGUUGUGGACUUAAUUGACUUGAAGAUUUGGUCCUUUUCUCUUUGGUAUAGUUAGUUGAAUGUGCAAGUGUGUUCAUGGUGCGUUUGGUCUUUUAUUUGGCAUUCUGGUAAACGUUAGGACUGCUUUUUCUAUGGAGGAAAUGUUUCUCUUAGGAAAUUACUUUCUUGAUCAUUUUCUAGUGUUUGGUUGGGUAUAAAAAUAGGUGAAAAGUAGGUGAACUAUGGUAAUUGCAUAUGGUUUAGGAUAGGGCGUGGUCGCAUGGAGUAAUGUUUUGGUGAUAUUUUUUGAUAGUAAAAGUUGACAACAAUGUAUAAGCAGUGAUUGAAACAUUUAAAAUUAGAUAAGAGUUGGGAUAUUUACAAAGGAAAAUGCCCAUUUUGGUGGAAACAAUUG
rnacentral:lncRNA from 1 species